rnacentral:rRNA from 1 species
CCUACGGGUGGCAGCAGUGAGGAAUAUUGGUCAAUGGACGAGAGUCUGAACCAGCCAAGUAGCGUGAAGGAUGACUGCCCUAUGGGUUGUAAACUUCUUUUAUAUGGGAAUAAAGUGUUCCACGUGUGGGCGUUUGUAUGUACCAUAUGAAUAAGCAUCGGCUAACUCCGUGCCAGCAGCCGCGGUAAUACGGAGGAUCCGAGCGUUAUCCGGAUUUAUUGGGUUUAAAGGGGGCGUAGGUGGAUUGUUAAGUCAGUUGUGAAAGUGUGUGGCUCAACCGUAAAAUUGCAGUUGAAACUGGCAGUCUUGAGUACGGUAGAGGUGGGCGGAAUUCGUGGUGUAGCGGUGAAAUGCUUAGAUAUCACGAAGAACUCCGAUUGCGAAGGCAGCUUACUGGACUGCAACUGACACUGAGGCUCGAAAGUGUGGGUAUCAAACAGGAUUAGAUACCCGAGUAGUC